AGUGAACGCUGGCGGUAGGCCUAACACAUGCAAGUCGAACGGCAGCACAGUAAGAGCUCGCUCUUACGGGUGGCGAGUGGCGGACGGGUGAGGAAUACAUCGGAAUCUACUUUUUCGUGGGGGAUAACGUAGGGAAACUUACGCUAAUACCGCAUACGACCUACGGGUGAAAGCAGGGGAUCUUCGGCCCUUGCGCGAUUGAAUGAGCCGAUGUCGGAUUAGCUAGUUGGCGGGGUAAAGGCCCACCAAGGCGACGCUCCGUAGCUGGUCUGAGAGGAUGAUCAGCCACACUGGAACUAAGACACGGUCCAGACUCCUACGGGAGGCAGCAGUGGCGAAUAUUGGACAAUGUGCGCAAGCCUGGUCCAGCCCUCCCGCGUGGGUGAAGUAGGCCUUCGGCUUGUAAAGCCCUUUUGUUUGGAAAGAAACGCAGCCUGUUCAUCCCCCGCCGUUCUGACGGUACCCGAAGAAUAAGCACCGGCUAACUUCGUG
rnacentral:rRNA from 1 species